rnacentral:rRNA from 1 species
GCCUGAUGCAGCCAUGCCGCGUGUGUGAAGAAGGCCUUCGGGUUGUAAAGCACUUUCAGUUGGGAGGAAAGGUUGUUGGUUAAUACCCGAUAGCUGUGACGUUAGCAACAGAAGAAGGACCGGCUAACUCCGUGCCAGCAGCCGCGGUAAUA